GACUGGAAAAUUGCCUUUUGCUACUUUAAAUACAAAUGAACGAAAUUCUGUGUUACAGCCAAUAGAACUAAUGAAUGUCAUUAUUGAAGAGCCUCAAAUCAAGCUUCCUAUGGGCCAGUUUUCUCAAAAUCUAAUUGACUUUGUUAAUAGAUGCCUUCGCAAAAUGCCAGCGUUACGACUCUCAGGGCAGGAUUUGUUAAGUCAUCCAUUUAUGCCCAGUCAACAAAGUUUAAUACCUUCUGUCAUCUCUCAACUUGUUUUCACCAAAAAACAAUUUUUAAAUAACUCCUAGUAGUCACAUCAAAUUUACAAGUGGAAGAGAAACAUGCAAGAUGAACCAGUGUCUAGGAAAACAUAUACAGUUUUAUUCUUUGAGUCAUGGCUUACAAAAGACACGAGCCCCUUGGACUACUUAUAAACAUUUCUGCUCUAAACACAUCCACACGAAGACGUAUGUGGUGGGGAAACAUACAUUUGGGCUCUUGGGACAUAAACAGCCUAGCAGACUUAAGUACAACUUAUAUGCCGCUACAGGCAUUAAGAAAAAUAAGUCCUAGCAGGAUGUAUGAUAAUAUACAGAUUUCUUCUACAAGCACACACCACAUAUUAAACCAAAUAUUGGCAAGGUGGAACAACUCUGUUACAUAUAAAUAGUUAGUAAUACCUGGGGAAAUAUGUAUGUUUCUGUUGUAAGCACAAAGAAUCAAAUGACUUAAAACAGUGAUGCCCAAAAUACGGCCCGUGGGCCAGAUUCGGCCCGCGACGUGGUUCCAUCCAGCCCGCCGAAAUGUCUGCACAAAGUGUAGAUAACCUCUACCCCCCUCCCCUUAAAGAAAAGGUUGAAAAAUGUCUCUUUACCUACGGGCCCUCAAUUUUUCUCCGCUUGAUUGGUACCAUGACUAACAUCUGUGCGUAACUUUAUGAGAUUGGACUCUUAGUGUAGAAUUUUAAAAACGUAAGGACGUUUACUUUGUGGCAGAACAUGAUAAUAAGCCAAUAUAUAUUUGAGUUGUCUAUAAAGAGUGUGGCUGUAUUAAAAAAAACAAAAGGAAAAGCAAUUAUAAAACACGUGACGUCAUUGGAAUCAAAAGAUAGUUAAACUACGUCUAGAGAUUGGAAGAUUAAUGUGAAUAGUUACCAAAAAAGACAAGAAUAUGAUUCGUUGGUAAAGCUAGCUACACUGUUGCUCAUAUUUUUAGCCGUUUUCUUACGCUUGGAAAAAAAAAGAGAAUACUAUCCCCAUUAAUGAACGUAAGUACCAGAUCCACGGGUUUCUAAUCAAAUAGUUUCAGGUCAAUUUCAUUUUAUGUGGCCCGCCACUAGGGUCGGAAAUUAAAAUGGGCCGCAGGUCGAUUUAUGUUGGGCAUCACUGACUUCAAACAACUCGGAUAAUGAUCAUGGACAAAAGAAAAUAAGGAAUUAAGAUAAAGGAUAGAGAAGAUGUUAUCUAAUGGAGGUCAAACCCAUGAACUCUCUAUCUUGAACUUCGGGCAUUACCUCAAGCAAAAUAGCACAUUUUAAUUUAUAUAUAGGCAGAAUCUGAUAGCCUUCAGCAUAUGCCAUUGUGCUAGAAAAAGAUUUACAAAAUAGACUGAUGAUCUACAGUGCAGGAGAAAGUUAAACAAUGACACAAUGUAGUGUAACUAUGUUGUUUAUUUUCUAUGUGCUUCUAACAUGUCUGAAAGAAAUGUCCAUUUUGUGUCCAUAGAACUUGAAUAAUCAGUCAUGUGAGACAUAUAUGUGCUCGUUUAUUGUUUACUGUGAUCUUGUUGAAAAAGGCCAAGAAAUAUG
rnacentral:sRNA from 1 species